CCUACGGGAGGCAGCAGUGAGGAAUAUUGGUCAAUGGACGAGAGUCUGAACCAGCCAAGUAGCGUGAAGGAUGACUGCCCUAUGGGUUGUAAACUUCUUUUAUAUGGGAAUAAAAUGUUCCACGUGUGGGAUUUUGUAUGUACCAUAUGAAUAAGGAUCGGCUAACUCCGUGCCAGCAGCCGCGGUAAUACGGAGGAUCCGAGCGUUAUCCGGAUUUAUUGGGUUUAAAGGGAGCGUAGGUGGAUUGUUAAGUCAGUUGUGAAAGUUUGCGGCUCAACCGGAAAAUUGCAGUUGAAACUGGCAGUCUUGAGUACAGUAGAGGUGGGCGGAAUUCGUGGUGUAGCGGUGAAAUGCUUAGAUAUCACGAAGAACUCCGAGUGCGAAGGCAGUUCACUGGACUGCAACUGACACUGAGGCUCGAAAGUGUGGGUAUCAAACAGGAUUAGAUACCCCAGUAGUC
rnacentral:rRNA from 1 species